GAUGAACGCUGGCGGCGUGCCUAAUACAUGCAAGUCGAGCGAACAGACGAGGAGCUUGCUCCCCUGACGUUAGCGGCGGACGGGUGAGUAACACGUGGAUAACCUACCUAUAAGACUGGGAUAACUUCGGGAAACCGGAGCUAAUACCGGAUAAUAUAUUGAACCGCAUGGUUCAAUAGUGAAAGACGGUUUUGCUGUCACUUAUAGAUGGAUCCGCGCCGCAUUAGCUAGUUGGUAAGGUAACGGCUUACCAAGGCAACGAUGCGUAGCCGACCUGAGAGGGUGAUCGGCCACACUGGAACUGAGACACGGUCCAGACUCCUACGGGAGGCAGCAGUAGGGAAUCUUCCGCAAUGGGCGAAAGCCUGACGGAGCAACGCCGCGUGAGUGAUGAAGGUCUUCGGAUCGUAAAGCUCUGUUAUUAGGGAAGAACAAAUGUGUAAGUAACUAUGCACGUCUUGACGGUACCUAAUCAGAAAGCCACGGCUAACUACGUG
rnacentral:rRNA from 1 species